rnacentral:lncRNA from 1 species
CUUUCUCUGUCUAUAGGAAUUGCAAUUUCUGUCCUUUCCUGCAAGACUCUGGGGGAAGACUUUAGGGAACAUCCUCCUUCUCGUGUCAACUGUGCCUCACUUCUACCAUUGAAACCACAAUUCACUAGUGGUCAGCAAUUGUCCUGCCGUUUCAUCCCUUGGGAAGAAAAGCUGGCAUUUUUCUGGCACAACGUAGAAGUGGCAUGGCCCCCCUGCAGAGUAUUGGUUCCUAAGGAAUUUUAUUAGGAGAACUCUGAAACUCCAAGGCAGUUACAUUAUUACUAAAGAGGUUUCAUGGUGUUUUAUGGAGCUUCAGCAUUUCCUCUUCCAUGAAGAGAAAAGCUCCUGGGAAGAAGAUAUUCCUCAGACAGCUGGUAACUUUUCAUUUCCGGACAUCUAAUACAGGGCAAACCAUAGAGAGUUGCUCUCCACUUGACACCAAAUCCCAAGCUCUGUGUAUUCUGUGUAUUCUUUCAAUUGGUAAGGAUCAGAAGUGAAGAUAUUUUCCUGAUACCACUGCUUUGUGAAAGUGACUGCUGGUAGGGGUUCUGAUUUUAAUCUGUACUGAAUAUGGUCAUGUCAUAAAUGCAAAUUACAAUAAUUUCCGCUCCUUUUUUUUUCAUUCCUAAAUCCAUAACCAUUUUUCUCAAUCUGAGAAGUAUCUGCAGUUGUUGUGGAAGAUCUUUUGCGUGUUAGAUGUUCUUUUGUAAGAACUUGAAUAGAAUUGCAGAUGAAAUUUCUAUUUUAUGCAGGACUUGCUCUGGAUGAAACAUAUAACAUUCUCUAAAAUUAUCUAAAUUUAUGUAUGUGUGUAUGCUUGUAUUCAAAUGUCUAGUGCUUCCUGGCUACAAAGUAUUUUUUCAAGGAACUAGGUCUACAACAUUAUAUAAACUUUUUUUCAAACAUUGGAACAACACACAGUAAAUUGAAAAAAACUAUUAAAGACAGGAAGUAACUGAUGUAGAAAUAAUCUGAAGUAUUUAUUGCUUUUCUGCCUACAACUAACUCUUUUAUUUUCCUCUUUGUCUUUUUUUUGUUCGAGUAAAAAAAUCAUCAGGGU